rnacentral:rRNA from 1 species
GGCGAACGGGUGAGUAAUAUAUCGGAACGUGCCCAGUCGUGGGGGAUAACGUAGUGAAAAUUACGCUAAUACCGCAUACGAUCUAAGGAUGAAAGCGGGGGAUCGCAAGACCUCGCGCGAUUGGAGCGGCCGAUAUCAGAUUAGGUAGUUGGUGAGGUAAAGGCUCACCAAGCCAACGAUCUGUAGCUGGUCUGAGAGGACGACCAGCCACACUGGAACUGAGACACGGUCCAGACUCCUACGGGAGGCAGCAGUGGGGAAUUUUGGACAAUGGACGCAAGUCUGAUCCAGCCAUUCCGCGUGCAGGACGAAGGCCUUCGGGUUGUAAACUGCUUUUGUACAGAACGAAAAGGUCUCUAUUAAUACUAGGGGCUCAUGACGGUACUGUAAGAAUAAGCACCGGCUAACUACGUGCCAGCAGCCGCGGUAAUACGUAGGGUGCAAGCGUUAAUCGGAAUUACUGGGCGUAAAGCGUGCGCAGGCGGUGAUGUAAGACAGAGGUGAAAUCCCCGGGCUCAACCUGGGAACUGCCUUUGUGACUGCAUCGCUGGAGUACGGCAGAGGGGGAUGGAAUUCCGCGUGUAGCAGUGAAAUGCGUAGAUAUGCGGAGGAACACCGAUGGCGAAGGCAAUCCCCUGGGCCUGUACUGACGCUCAUGCACGAAAGCGUGGGGAGCAAACAGGAUUAGAUACCCUGGUAGUCCACGCCCU